rnacentral:lncRNA from 7 species
GGGACCCACGCCCUCCCAACGCCUUUUCUUCCCAACGGAUUCACCUCAACGGUCGCCGGAGCUCGGGCCGAGAUCCUCGCGUUGGGCGCGCCUCCAUGCGGCAUAAAAUCCACAACGGAUUCGCGAUAGCCUCUCUUUGUAUCCUCCCUGUUCUCUCCGUAGCCUCGAAUCGUGACUGCCACCGUACCACAGUGAGAGAAAAGGAAAACACAAAGAAGUGGGCUGCCGCCAUGGGUUCUCAUCGGUGAUGGGAUUUGGACUCCAGCGCGAUUACCCAGAAAUCGGUCAAGCCCUGUUGAAGCUCGACAAAGUGUUAAUCAGAGGGAGAUUAGCUGAAGCCCUGGGAAUUGCUCGUCGGACGGACACCGCCGCUGUGGAAUGUCUGUUCACGUGGUCGUGCUACGUCGCCA